AAAUGAUGUUACAUUUUAAAAACCACUAAUUCUUUGAUAACUACAGAGAUGAUUGAGUCCAAUUUUCAAAGAUCCACAAAUCCCUAUAGUUAGCAUACCCUACUUCACUAGCACAUUUGUAAAUACUCCAAUACAUUUCCUUUAGGCUGGGGUCAAGUGAUGGCAUUCCCAUUUGAGCUGCUAUCCAGUCCAUGUACUCCAUCACGUGAGGGUGAAGGCGAUGAGUGUCACGUUUUGGGAUGCCAGCUUCCUCAAGUUGCCUAUUAUGAUCCUCAACAUCAGCUAACAUCUCCUCUUCCGAUGGUAAAAGCACCUUUCCAGACAAAACUUGUGCAAUCCAUUUGGCUUGUAAUUCAGACCCAAGAAAGAUUAUUCCCUGAUCAUCACAGGGAAAAGUCUACAUGAUAACUUGAAAUUUUUCAAGAGCCUUAGAAGGUAUACCAACAAAGGAGAGGCAGGGAGAAAGUUUUGGAGGAAAGACAUGCUUGUAUAGUGGUCCAACAACACGACCCUCAUCAUCUACACUUACUAUUCCAUUAGUUUCAAGAAAUGGGAAAUCAUACUUGUAUCCUGUGCAGUGGAGAAUGAUAUCAGCAUGAAUAGAAGACCCAUCAAAGAAAAUCACUUCACCACUUUCAUCAACAUGUUCAAUCUUUGAAUGGUUCCACAGAUUUUCAUAAUUGUCCAAUUUCGAAACUUCAAUUUCAGAAUAUCUUGUUGAAA
rnacentral:misc_RNA from 1 species